AAGCGCCACAUCUCCCUCGUUUAUAAAAUUAAAACUAUUUUCAACUUUGUAUAAGAAAACACUUUAACUUAACCCUUCCACUCUUCGAGUCCUCCAGUCUCCUCCCUGAGUCCUCACAUCUCUUUUCUCGUUCUAUCUUUCUUCCUUUCUAUCAUGGAACAUAAUGCAUUAGCAGGACAACGAGCAUCUUGGAGGCGCAGUUCGUGAUGGCGAAGACGUCAAGGUGUCGGAUCUUGUCAGCGACGGCUACUCCAUUGCCCAGAAUAUAACCUGAGCCCUUUGUCAAAUUGAAUUACUGCAAACUUUUCUUGAUCUCCGCAUAUGGCGACACCUAAAUCAUAGUCUUCGUUUCACAUUGUGCGGGCUAUGCGGAAUUUUCCUGUUGCUUGAUUGUGCUAUCAAAGUUUUGGACACACCGGAGGUUUCGGUUGCUCAUUUGUUCCAUUCGUACCUGCUGCUUGCAUUCUCAUAAAUACCCACCUACUUAGUGAUCUUGGGUGAGUUUCUUCACUAGCAUACAUAUAGAUAUCUAAAAGCAUAUGCAAACACAGAAUGUGGAAGCCUGCAAAACUAGAGGAAAUUGCUAUUGCUGUUUCUACCCUGAAUAGCCAGUUGAAGAAAUUCUUAAUCCAUAUGCGAUAUUCCCUCAACCAGAGGAAAACUUUAAGGCAGGGUCUGACUUGGGCCCAACUGAUGCAUUUGGUAGAGCAAGAGAAAAUACUAUGUGGGGCGUCUCUCUUAUGAUCGGUUACCUUGGGUAUAUUCUGGACAUUUCCUUUAUGGUUAUGCUUUUUUGUAUUUUUUUUGUCAUUAGCUGUUGAAAUAAACGUUAAAUGGCCUUCAAUUAAAACAUAUGAAUUUAUUCUACUUACAUAUCCAGUUAUUGUAAUAAGUUAUUACUUUUGUUUCUACGCAUGCUAUUGAAAGUAGUUCCUCCUUUUUUGAUACUCACACCUCACCUAGGACGGAAGUGAGAUCCCUAUAAUGCUAGAUCAGAUUGCUAGGAUAACUAUGACAUAGGAUUAUAUGUCCCCUAGUGUGCUAAAUUGUUGCAAUAUUUUUAUGGUUCCUUACAGAGGUAAAAUUAUACCAAAAAAGUAAGUUGAAAGUUACGCUUUCGUAAUACCACCAUGUUUGUUUGUUUUUCCUUCUUAUCAUGAUCUUGAGUUUGGUUUUAAUUUGUUUUUCCUGGUUUUUUUUUUUGGCGUUUCCAGUUUAUGUUUGGUUUUGUUCUUGAGUUCUUGUUAUAAUGCAUUUAGUGCUCUCACUCUUUUUUAUAUGUGGAUUGUUUAAUGUGUUGCAAUUGGGGCUUUGUUUUG